rnacentral:rRNA from 1 species
UACGUAGGUGGCGAGCGUUGUCCGGAUUUACUGGGCGUAAAGAGCGCGCAGGCGGCUGGUCAAGUCCGAUGUGAAAGCUCCCGGCUUAACUGGGAAAUUGCAUCGGAAACUGAUCGGCUUGAAUCCGGGAGAGGGAUGCGGAAUUCCAGGUGUAGCGGUGAAAUGCGUAGAUAUCUGGAGGAACACCGGUGGCGAAGGCGGCAUCCUGGACCGGCAUUGACGCUGAGGCGCGAAAGCCAGGGGAGCAAACGGG